rnacentral:rRNA from 1 species
GAAGAUGUCCGCAAUCACGCGGCUAGCAACAUUGAUGAAGCAGAACUUGUGGGCUUUUCCAAGCCUAAGGAGGAGUUGAUAAACCUGAUGGAUGUCAACACUGAAGAUGGUUCUCCCAAGGUAAUAUGUGUUGUCGGCAUGGGUGGUUUAGGAAAGACUACUCUUGCAAGGAAGACAUAUGAAAGUAAGGAAGAUAUUGAGCAAAAAUUUUCUUCUGUUGCUUGGAUCACAGUAUCACAUUCAAUUUUCAAUAUAGAGGUGCUCAAGGAUAUGAUCAGGCAGCUUUUGGGACCCGAGUCACUAAAGAAAUGCUUGAAAGAACUUAAAGGGAAGGCAGUGCAAGUGGGCGACCUCUCCAAGUACCUCAUGGAAGGGCUCAAGGAUAAAAGGUAUUUUAUUGUUUUUGAUGACUUGUGGACCAUAGAUAUGUGGAGGUGGAUCCAAGAAUUUGCUGUUGCUAGCAAUAAUAGGAAAGGCAGUCGCAUAGUAGUAACAACACGAGAUGUGGGCUUAGCUAAGGAGUGUUCUGGUGACUCGCAUAUCUACCAACUCAAACCUCUACAACCAGUUGAUGCAGCAAAUUUGUUACUAAGAAAGAGUAGGAAAAGGCAGGAAGACAUGGAGAGAGAUGGGAACAUAGUUGAAAAAUUAGUUAAAAAGUGUGGUGGUUUACCAUUGGCUAUACUCAUGGUAGGUGGCGUCCUUGCCACAAAAAAGGUAGCUGAGUGGAGACAAUUUUAUGAUCAUCUCCCUUCAGAGCUUGAGACUAACCCAAGCCUUGAAGCAAUGAGGAGGAUGAUUAUUCUGAGCUACAACCACCUACCAUCUCAUCUAAAGUCGUGCUUUUUGUACCUAAGCAUCUUUCCUGAGGAUUUUGAAAUUAAGAGAAGGCAUCUAGUAAAUAGAUGGAUAGCUAAGGGGUUCAUCAAAGCUAGGGGUAGGGUAAACAUCGAGGAUGUUGGAAAAAGUUAUUUCAUUGAACUAAUCAACCGAAGCAUGAUUAUACCAUCAAGAGUGAAUGUGGAAGGAACCGUUAAGAGCUGUCGAGUCCAUGAUAUCAUGCGUGAUGUCAUGGUUUCAAUUGCUAGAGAUGAAAAUUUUGUGUACUUGACCGCGGAUGAUAAUGUAACUAGUGUGACAGAGGAGAAUUUUCGUCAUGUAUCAUACCAUGGUAGAAAGUUCCUAAAGGAAUGCAUAGAUUGGAGGCAUUUCCGGUCA